rnacentral:rRNA from 1 species
UUUUUGAAUAUAAUUUAAAGUAGGGCCUGCCCMCUGAUUUAUUGAAGGGCCGCAGUAUUUUGACUGUGCAAAGGUAGCAUAAUCAUUAGUUUUUUAAUUGAAAGCUUGUAUGAAUGGUUUGAUGAGGGAAUGACUUUCUAUAUUUAAUUAAGUAAGAAUUUUAUUUUUAAGUUAAAAAGCUUAAAUUUUUUUAAAAGACGAGAAGACCCUAUAGAGUUUAAUAUUAUACUUAAUUUAAAUUUUUAGAAUUUAAAUGUUAGUAUUAUGUAUAUUAUUUGAUUGGGGUGAUUGAAAAAUUAAUUUAACUUUUUUUAUAUAAUUACAUUAAUUUAUGAAUUUUUGAUCCAUAUAAAUGAUUAAAAGAUUAAAUUACCUUAGGGAUAACAGCGUUAUUUUUUUUUAGAGUUCAAAUCGAAAAAAGAGAUUGCGACCUCGAUGUUGGAUUAAAGUUAAUUUUAGGUGUAGAAGCUUAAAUAUUUGGUCUGUUCGACCAUUAAAACUUUACA